rnacentral:rRNA from 1 species
AAAGUGGCGAACGGCUGAGUAACACGUGGGCAACCUGCCCUUUGCACUGGGAUAGCCUCGGGAAACCGAGGUUAAUACCGGAUACUCCAUAUUUGUCGCAUGGCGAAUAUGGGAAAGCUCCGGCGGCAAAGGAUGGGCCCGCGGCCUGUUAGCUAGUUGGUGGGGUAGUGGCCUACCAAGGCAAUGAUGGGUAGCCGGGUUGAGAGACCGACCGGCCAGAUUGGGACUGAGACACGGCCCAGACUCCUACGGGAGGCAGCAGG